GAUGAACGCUGGCGGCAGGCUUAACACAUGCAAGUCGAGCGGAGAUGAGGUGCUUGCACCUUAUCUUAGCGGCGGACGGGUGAGUAAUGCUUAGGAAUCUGCCUAUUAGUGGGGGACAACAUUCCGAAAGGAAUGCUAAUACCGCAUACGUCCUACGGGAGAAAGCAGGGGACCUUCGGGCCUUGCGCUAAUAGAUGAGCCUAAGUCGGAUUAGCUAGUUGGUGGGGUAAAGGCCUACCAAGGCGACGAUCUGUAGCGGGUCUGAGAGGAUGAUCCGCCACACUGGGAGUGAGACACGGCCCAGACUCCUACGGGAGGCAGCAGUGGGGAAUAUUGGACAAUGGGCGGAAGCCUGAUCCAGCCAUGCCGCGUGUGUGAAGAAGGCCUUUUGGUUGUAAAGCACUUUAAGCGAGGAGGAGGCUACUAGUACUAAUACUACUGGAUAGUGGACGUUACUCGCAGAAUAAGCACCGGCUAACUCUGUGCCAGCAGCCGCCGUAAUAC
rnacentral:rRNA from 1 species